rnacentral:rRNA from 1 species
CCUACGGGAGGCAGCAGUAAGGAAUAUUGCGCAAUGGGCGAAAGCCUGACGCAGCGACGCCGCGUGGGGGAUGAAGGUCUUCGGAUUGUAAACCCCUUUCGGGAGGGAAGAUGGAAUGAGCAAUCAUUCGGACGGUACCUCCAGAAGCAGCCACGGCUAACUUCGUGCCAGCAGCCGCGGUAAUACGAAGGUGGCAAGCGUUGUUCGGAUUUACUGGGCGUACAGGGAGCGUAGGCGGUUUAGUAAGCCCUUUGUGAAAUCUCCAGGCUUAACCUGGAACAGUCGGAGGGGACUGCUAAGCUAGAGUACGGGAGAGGAGCGCGGAAUUCCCGGUGUAGCGGUGAAAUGCGUAGAGAUCGGGAGGAAGGCCGGUGGCGAAGGCGGCGCUCUGGAGCGUUUCUGACGCUGAGGCUCGAAAGCGUGGGGAGCAAACAGGAUUAGAUACCCUGGUAGUCCACGCCUUAAACUAUGAAUACUAAGUGUCGGCGGUUUACCGCCGGUGCCGCAGCUAACGCAUUAAGUAUUCCGCCUGGGAAGUACGGCCGCAAGGUUGAAACUCAAAUGAAUUGACGG